AUGGCAUUUGUAACUUCUCAGGCUACUAUAAUAAGAGUAAUCAGAUCUCGGGCUUCAGGGUGUAACAUGAUCACCUGUGCUUUUCAGAAAGGAAUUUCUGUACACAUGGAUAGUGCUACACAGCUGGCCAAGCACAUUAUUGGUAAUGUCAGAGGGAAGGAGAAGAGAGAUCACCUCCUCCAAAUCAUUUCAUGCCUUUUACAACUGAAUGAAGCUGUCUGUGAGGAAGUUCCUCAGCUCUUCAUAAAAUAG
rnacentral:lncRNA from 1 species